GACGAACGCUGGCGGCGUGCCUAAUACAUGCAAGUUGAGCGCUGAAGGUUGGUACUUGUACCAACUGGAUGAGCAGCGAACGGGUGAGUAACGCGUGGGGAAUCUGCCUUUGAGCGGGGGACAACAUUUGGAAACGAAUGCUAAUACCGCAUAAAAACUUUAAACACAAGUUUUAAGUUUGAAAGAUGCAAUUGCAUCACUCAAAGAUGAUCCCGCGUUGUAUUAGCUAGUUGGUGAGGUAAAGGCUCACCAAGGCGAUGAUACAUAGCCGACCUGAGAGGGUGAUCGGCCACAUUGGGACUGAGACACGGCCCAAACUCCUACGGAAGGCAGCAGUAGGGAAUCUUCGGCAAUGGACGAAAGUCUGACCGAGCAACGCCGCGUGAGUGAAGAAGGUUUUCGGAUCGUAAAGCUCUGUUGGUAGAGAAGAACGUUGGUGAGAGUGGAAAGCUCAUCAAGUGACGGUAACUACCCAGAAAGGGACGGCUAACUACGUG
rnacentral:rRNA from 1 species